AGAGAGAGACAUGCGCGCAUAUCAAUAAGCGGAGGAAAAGAAACUAACAAGGAUUCCCCUAGUAACGGCGAGUGAAGCGGGAAGAGCUCAAAUUUGAAAUCUUAAAGGGUUUCCCUUUACGAAUUGUAGUUUAAAGAAGUGUUUUCUGUUGAGGUUUUGGUAAAAGUUCUUUGGAAUAGGACAUCAUAGAGGGUGAGAAUCCCGUAUUUGACCUUUACUUUCAACUUUGUGAUACACUUUCAAAGAGUCGGAUUGUUUGGGAAUGCAGUCCAAAAUGGGUGGUAAAUUUCAUCUAAAGCUAAAUAUUGGCGAGAGACCGAUAGCGAACAAGUACCGUGAGGGAAAGAUGAAAAGAACUUUGAAAAGAGAGUUAAACAGUACGUGAAAUUGUCAAAAGGGAAGCGUUUGACACCAGUGUUGCUUUUCUGAAAAUCAAUUAAAGAACUGUUUAUGCUAAGCUGUUUAGACUUUAUCAGCUAUCUGUUUAGUUUUGAGCUUUUCUUUAAUGCACUUUUCAGUUAACAAGUCAACAUCAAUUUCUUUUGCUGUAAAAAAGCUUGAGGAAGGUGGCUUGAGAUUCGUCUUAAGUGUUUAUAGCCUCUUGCCUAUGCAGUCGGAGAGAUUGAGGUCUGCAGCGUAGAUCCUUCGGGGCUAAAUGCAUUUGUGCUAAGUUAUAGCAUUUUAUAGGACAACUUGUUGACUAUGAUUUGUCUUGUAGCUUACUCGCUUAUGUUAUUUUACCUACGCUUAGGAUGUUGACGCAUGAGAUAUACGC
rnacentral:rRNA from 1 species